ensembl:lncRNA
CCGGAAACAGAAUUGAUUAGUUCACCUCUGGAGUCUUUGGUUCACUUCACAGCCCCACUGCCUUCAGAAUAUGGGGCAGUCACAUGAUGAACGAAUGCCUCGAACCUGAAGACUUGAGACGCGAACUAAUCAAAUGUAACGUGACAAAAGAAGAACGACUCGGAUCGGGAGAGUGUGACGUUGGGCUGUGGAGACUGUGCAUGUGCGAUGUGCCGCUUGCUCUCAGUGCGGUGUGCCGUCAGGGCUCUCAUCUGUGUAGCAUGGCAGUUUAACGUAGCCCCGGUCGGAGCGCCAGCUGCUGCUGUCACAACUAUUAAAGAAGCUAUCAUAUGAUUUUCGUAUGUGCAGUCGAGCUGAGUGCUUCCAGAGGCUGGGGGAGGUCCUUUGAGGCACCUUGGGCUUUACUUAAUUAAGGGUCGUUAUUAUUGCUGUGUUUUAUUUGCAGUGAAUUUUGUGGGUAUGAUUCUGAUUAGUGGGGUGCUUUUCCCUUUUGUACAGCUGGUGCUGUCGUGCUAGCCUGCCCUUCAUACAGGAAGCCUCAGUCCUCCUAUGAUUAUUGUUCAUUUUCUCUUGUGACUGCUUUAUUUGACCAACACCUGACUGUGUUGGCUGCUUUUUAAAAAAAU